UCAUCUGGACUCAGAACCCAGAGCAGGAUCAGGUUUUAGAGGAGGACCUGCUCUGGGUUCUGAGUCCUGAUGG